AGAGCAGGACAAAUGACCGCUGUUCCGUCUUUUGGCGGGAGGGAGGAAAGUCCGGGCUCCACAGGACAGAGCGCUGGGUAACGCCCAGUCCCGGCAACGGGAAGGAAAGUGCCACAGAAAGUAAACCGCCCACGGCAUGGCCGAGGGUAAGGGUGAAAGGGUGAGGUAAGAGCUCACCAGUCCUGACGGCGACGACAGGAGCUAGGUAAACCCCGCUCGGAGCAAGACCAAAUAGGGGGACGCAUGAGGGCUGUCCGUCCUAGUCCCCGGGUAGGUCGCAUGAUCCCGUCGGCAACGGCGGGGCUAGAUGAAUGGUCAUUGUCCCCCGUCAGGGGGAAACAGAACCCGGCUUAUGGCCUGCUCUAACA
rnacentral:RNase_P_RNA from 1 species